rnacentral:rRNA from 1 species
UACAGAGGGGGCCAGCGUUAUUCGGAAUUAUUGGGCGUAAAGGGCGCGUAGGCGGCCCUGCGUGUCUUCCGUGAAAUCCCUCGGCUUAACUGAGGACGUGCGGAAGAAACUGCAGGGCUCGAGUCCGGGAGAGGAGGGUGGAAUUCCCAGUGUAGCGGUGAAAUGCGUAGAUAUUGGGAGGAACACCGGUGGCGAAGGCGGCAUCCUGGACCGGCAUUGACGCUGAGGCGCGAAAGCCAGGGGAGCAAACGGG